UUACCACACCUAAAAAACUUUCCACGUGAACCGUAUCAACCCACUUAGUUGGGGGCUAGUCCUGGCGGCUGGCUGUCGAUGUCAAAGUUGACGGCUGCUGCUGUGUGUCGGGCCCUAUCAUGGCGAGCGUUUGGGUCCCUCUCGGGGGAACUGAGCCAGUAGCCCUUAUCUUUUAAACCCAUUCUUGAAUACUGAAUAUACUGUGGGGACGAAAGUCUCUGCUUUUAACUAGAUAGCAACUUUCAGCAGUGGAUGUCUAGGCUCGCACAUCGAUGAAGAACGCUGCGAACUGCGAUACGUAAUGCGAAUUGCAGGAUUCAGUGAGUCAUCGAAAUUUUGAACGCAUAUUGCACUUCCGGGUUAGUCCUGGGAGUAUGCCUGUAUCAGUGUCCGUACAUCAAACUUGGCUCUCUUCCUUCCGUGUAGUCGGUGGAUGGGGACGCCAGACGUGAGGUGUCUUGCGGGUGGUCUUCGGGCUGCCUGCGAGUCCCUUGAAAUGUACUGAACUGUACUUCUCUUUGCUCGAAAAGCGUGACGUUGUUGGUUGUGGAGGCUGCCUGUGUGGCCAGUCGGCGACCGGUUUGUCUGCUGCGGCGUUUAAUGGAGGAGUGUUCGAUUCGCGGUAUGGUUGGCUUCGGCUGAACAAUGCGCUUAUUGGACGUUCUUCCUGCUGUGGCGGUACGGAUCGGUGAACCGUA
rnacentral:rRNA from 1 species